CAUUGAGGAAGAUUUUUUUAUCACUUCUUCCCCACUUUUACACCUGAUUGCACAAGUAGAUUUGGUAUAUCAUAGAAUCAUCAAAUUGGUUUCAGUUGUAAGGAUUCUUAACAAUCAUCUAGUUCCAAUCCCUCUGUCGUGGGCAAGGGGGCCUUCUAGAUCAGGUUACUGAAAUCCCCAUCCAACCUGACCUUGAACACUUCCUGGGAUAGAACAUCAACAGAUUCUCUGAGAACCUUGUUCCAGUGCUUUACUACCCUCAUAGCGGAGAAUUUAUUUUGAAUAUAUAAUCUAAAUAUCUUCUAUUUUAGUUUAAAGCUAUUAUCCCUUGUCUUAUUGCUACACACCCUGACAGAGUCCCUCUCUAUCUAUCCAUCUUGUAUGUCUUCUUUAAAAACUGAAAGAUUGGUCUCCCUGUGGCCUUCUCUUUUCCAGGUUGAACAACCUCAAGUCUCCCAGAUUGACUUCAAAGGAGAGAUUUUCCAGCCCUCUGAUUUCCUCUUGGCCCUCCUCUGGACCUGCUCCAACACGUUAAUUUUUAUCUUAUGCAGAGGGCCCCAGAGCUGAACACUGUACUUCAGGUGGGGUCUUGUGAGAGCAGAGCAGAGAGAGGGAAUCACCUCCCUUGUCCUGCUGGCCAUGUUUAUUUUAAUGCUGCCCAGUGUAUGGAUGGUUUUCAGGGCUGCGAGUGCACAUUGCUGGCUCAUGUAGUUUUUUAUCAACCAACAUCCCAAAAUCUUUCUUUUUGGGGUAACUCUCAAUCCUUUCUCCACCCAGCCUGUACUUUGCUUGAGAUUGCCCUAACUCCAGUGGAGGAGCUUGCACUUGGUCUUCUGAAAUUUCACGAGGUUCAUACAGAAACAACUUUCAAGCCUGUCCAAAUCUGUGUGGAUUGCAUUCCUUCUCUCCAACAUAUUGACAGAACCAUUCACUUUGGUGUUGUUGGAAACCUUUCUGAAGGUGUACUCAAUCUCAGUGUCUAGUUCACUAAGAUAACAGAUAACACCAGUUCCAAUAUUGACCCCUGAGGAAUGCCAUUCAUCACCUGAGCAUUGAGUUGUUAACUACAAGUCUCUGAAAGUGACCAUCCAGCCAUUUCCUUAUUCACUGAACACUCCAUCUGUCAAAUCCAUGUAUCUCCAAUUUAUAGAGAAGGAUUUAAUGUGGGACAAUGUCAAAUGCUUUGCACAAAGCUAAGCAAGUGAUGUCAGUUGCUCUUCCCUUAUCCACCAACACUGUAACUCUGUCAUAUAAGGCCACAUCUGCCAGGCACAAUUUGCCCUUAGAGGAACCAUGCUGGCUGUCAUCUCUCUCUUUGUAUUUCAUGAGCCAUAGCAUAGUUUUCAGUGUACAUUGCAACAACAAAGCUUCAGUGUAAGUAACAGGAAAAAAAAAAAAAAAAAAAAGAAGAAGGGGGGGGGGGGGGAAUAAUUAAAAAAAUGACGUAGAGUUCCACCUAGGAGUAGAUGAGGAAAACAUUUGAUAGGAGCACUACAGAUGUGAUGCAUAUGCCUUAAUACAUAAGGAGGGCUAAAUAAUCUUGCAAAGUCUUUCUUCCUCAUGAUUCUUGCACAGGCUUUUCAGAUUUUCAGGCAAGUAGUGGUCUAUUAUCCAAAUACUUACUGAAGAGGAAAAAUGACUGUCAUGAUUCAAGUGAAAUCUUAAUUGCUGUGAAACUCCACAAUGGAGAAAGAUCUUGGCCUACAUUUUAGUAAAUUGAUGUUUAAAUAUAUUAUUUUCCUAUUUCUUUUAUUUUGAUUUUUUUCUUUUAUUUGUUGUUGUUGUUUGUUAGUUUUGUUUAGGAAUUCUUAUCUUUUUCUUCCUGUUAAUGAAAGUGAGCCCUAAAGGAGAGGUGAGUUUCUACUCCAUAUGUGUAGACCUUGUUGUAGUGCUGGUUGGAAAGAUGGUAGCAGAUGGAUAACAUUUGGGACUUCUUGUCAAUUCAUCUGUUAAUAAGAGGGACUCUUCACAUAGGCUGCAGUAAACAAGGCCCUUCUGUCUCUAGCACUGCCAUUAGCCCUUAAAAUGUCCUCUGAGAAUGUGUUUGAUGGUGGACAUCUGAGAUAAUAAUAUCUUCAACAGCUUCCUGAAGUAAGAACUCUUUUGUGAUUAUGUGUGGAGUUAUUUAAUCACAGAGACACCUUUUCAUGAGUAAUUAUUACUGAGUAAUGAUUACUAAAGAUUACUGAGCUUCCCCCACAGAAGUAAUGCAACACAUGACUUAAAAAAAUCUCUUUCUACUAUUUCUGAGAAACAGGUUACAUGUUAAAAGGUGGUUGCUAUUGCUGUUGACCUAGUUGGUAUCGGCCUGUUACUGUUCAGUAUUCCCUGAUGUUCAUACAAUAUGUCUUGUUACAUGGUAUGUAUCUAAUGAUUUCUCAUUCAAUGAAUGCCAUGGAAAGAUCAUAGAAUUUCUCAGAUUGGAAAAGACCAAGUGCAACUCCAACCUAACCAUACUACCCUAACUCUAACAACCACUGCUAAAUCUUGUCCCUGAGUACCACAUCCAAAUAGUCUUUAAACACAUCCAGGGGUGGCCACCUGCCUGGGAAGCCUACUCCAGUGUUUACUCUUUUUUUACUCAGGUGGUUACCCUUUCUGUGAAGAAAUUUUUUCCUGAAGAUACUCCUGAAGAAGAUAUUUUCCUAUGAAGGGUCAGGUCUGACUUUUUGAAUGCAAAGUUUGAAUUUAGAUGUUGAUAUCAAUCCAUUUUUACUGUUAUGGUCUGCACUACCUGUUUUUUGCCUGUUUCAGUGAUAUAGUUCCUUCUAUCCAUAUAACAAGUUUGGAUCCUUAUUAAACUCUAAUUCAAUACUGUAGAGUAUAGGACAAACUAUUGCAAAUCUGCAUCUGUAAGAGGUCAUUCUUUUACACCAUUGCCUCAAAGCUUGCUGAGGGACACAGAUGAACAAGUUCAAGCAUGUCCUGACCAAGGAUUAGGAAAUCCUUUGUCUGAAGGGGCAACAGAUGGACAAGGCCAGGGGCAAUGAGAGAGAGGUAAGUGGCAGCUAAAUGGCCAGGAAACAGUCUUUUGUGUGGACUUAUCCCAAGGGAGACAGCCAUCUCAGGGGAUGCUCACAUGACCCUUACCCAAGUGCCCAGGAAUGUCAUGUAGGCAGGGAAGAAGAAGGAUAAAAGAGAGUCCAACAACCAUGAAGGCAGGUUUCUGACAACAGAUUCCUCAUGACCUGCCUCUCUCUCCUGGACUUGCUCUGUGCUCUACCUGCUUGCUGCCUAAGGAUGGCCCCUCUGCUACUGCUCUCCCCCCUGAGAAGGUGUCUGCCAUCAGAUGCCUCACUAUGAAAGACCUGCAUGCUGACAGACUCUCCAGGGCCUGCUACCGGAGACCUGCUGUUUCCUCCCGGACUUCUUCCUGGACCUACUCAGUACCUGCACCUUCCUGCUGCCCAAGACCGGCCACGCUGCUGCUGCUCUUCUCCUAUGCUUUUGCCCCGGACCGUAGGAACGUCAUGCAAUGGGAUACUGCCGGAUCCUGGUGAAUCAUAGAAUCAUCAAGGUUGGAAAAGACCCACAGGAUCACCCAGUCCAACCAUCCACCCAUCAUCAAUAGUUCUCAAUAAACCAUGUCCCUCAACACAAUGUCCAAAUGUUCCUUGAACACCCCCAGGGUAGGUGACUCCACCAGCUCCCUUGGCAGCCCAUUCCAGUGCCUCACCACUCUUUCAGAGAAAAAGUAUUUCCUGAUGUCCAGCCUGAACCUCCCUGGUGCAGCUUGAAGCCAUUCCCUCUAGUCCUGUCACUAGUUACACAAGAGAAGAGGCUGGCCCCCAGCUCACUACAACCUCCCUUCAGGUAGUUAUAGAGAGCAAUAAGGUCUCCCCUGAGCCUCCUCUUCUCCAGACUGAACAAUCCCAGCUCCUUCAGCUGUUCCUCAUAAAGCCUGUGCUCCAGAUCCUUCACCAGCUUUGAUGCCCUUCUUUGAACACGCUCCAGGGCCUCGAUGUCUUUCUUACAGUGAGGGGCCCAAAACUGGACACAGUACUCCAGGUGCGGCCUCACCAGGGCUGAGCACAGGGGGAUAAUUACUCCUCUGUUCCUGCUGGCAGCACUGUUUCUGAUGCAAGCCAGGAUACCAUUGGCCUUCUUGGUCACCUGGGCACACUGCUGGCUCAUGUUCAGUUGAGCAUCAAUCAAUACCCCCAGGUCCAUUUCCUCUACAGUCUUCCAGCCACUCUGCCCCAAGCCUGUAGUGUUGCCUGGGGUUAUUGUGGCCAAAAUGCAAGACCUGGAAUUUGGUCUUGCUGAACCUCAUCACAUCAGCUUCAGCCCAGCCAUCCAGCCUGUCCAGAUCCCUCUGUAGGGCCUCACUGCCCCCAGGCAGGUUGACACUUCCAGCCAACUUGUUGUCAUCUGCAAACUUACUGAGGGUGCACUCAGUGCCCUCAUCCAGGUCAUCAAUAAAGAUAUUGGAGAGAAUGGGCCCCAGCACAACCCCUGGGGAACACCACUUGUGACUAGUUGCUAGCUGGAUUUAAUUCCAUUCACCGCCACUCUCUGAGCUCAGCCCUCCAGCCAAUUCCUUACCCAGCCAAGAAUGUAGCUGUCCAAGCCACGGACUGCCAACUUCUGCAGGAGAAUACUGUGGGAAACAGUGUCAAGGCUUUGCUGAAGUCUAGGUAGACUACAUCAACAGCCUUUCCCUCAUCCACCAGACGGGUCACUAGAUCAUAGAAGGAGAUCAGGUUGGUCAGUCAAGCAGGACCUGCCCUUCGUGAACCCAUGCUGGCUUGGCUUGAUCUCCCUCAAGACAGUCUGCUCCAUAAUCUUCCCUGGCACUGAGGUCAGGCUAACAGGCCUGUAGUUCCCCGGAUCCUCCCUGUAGUCCUUCUUGUAGAUGGGAGUCACAUUGGCAAGCCUCCAGUCUUCUGGGACCUCUCCAGUCAACAAGGAGCACUGACAGAUGAUGGAAAGUGGCUCAGCUAUCACCUCCGCCAGUUCCCUCAGCACUCUUCAGUGAAUCUCAUCGGGCCCCGUGGACUUGUGGCAGUCUGUAAGAGACUAUUCUUUUAUAUCAUUGACUCAAAGUUUGCUGAGGAACAAGUCCAGGCAAGUCCUGGGCAAAGGCAGAGAAAUCUUUUGUCUUGAGGACACUGAUGGACAGGUACUGGCUAAGGAUUGUGAAAUCCUCUAAGGAGCACAGAUGGACAAGGCCAGGGGCAUUGAGAGAGAGAUAAGCUGCUGCUAAUGGCCGGGAAACGGUCUUUUUGUGUGGACUUAUCUCAAGGAAAAUGGCCAUCUCAGGAGGUAUGCACAGGACUCUUGCUCAAGCACCCAGGAAUGUCACGUAGGCAGCAGAAAAUGGAGGAUAAAAGAGGGUCCAAUAACCACAACGGUGGAAGCUGAUCCUUCACCACAACCACGGCAACGGUAGAGGCUUCUCUCUCACCACGACAGACUUGAGAGGUUCUCUGCCAUCUGAUCUCUCAUUGCAACGUGGAGGCUGAUCUCUCACCGCAACACAGAGGCUGAUCUCUCAUGAUCUCUCACCACGACACAAGCUUCCUGCCUUCAGAUCCUUCUCUACGGACCGUUUGCUGACGGACUUCCCUGGGCCUGCUACCUGAGACCUGCUGCUUCCUCCCUGACCUGCACCCUCUCGUUGCCCAAGACCGGCCCCGCUGCUCCUGCCCUUUGGCCUCGGACCGUCGGAACAUCGUGCAACGGGACUGCUGCCGGAUCCUGGUGGUCUUGUGGUCUUUAUCCCACUGUCACAAGAUGAUUCAAGUUGUGGGGCAACUGAUCCAAAUGAUGUGAACAGAGCAUAUCCACUAUGACGUAUCAAACUAAAAGAUACUGGAGGCACAGGAAAUAAAAUGUGAUUUACUUGCAUUUUGUUAUUCAGAUUAGAGAUUUGGAAAGAAAUUCCAGGAUAUGGAAGACAUAUUUUAAAAAAUAUUUGAAAAAAAUUUAACCACACAUUCUACCACUUUCAGUGGUAAGUCAUCAGCAGAGUACACAAAAUGUAAUCUCUUACAUCACCUGACAAUUCUGCAUAGAACAUGACUGCCAACUUCUCUGCUUACAUGCAGUAUUUUUCAAGGUUUUCACAUUGUUAUCUUAAUCAAAUGACACCGAAAAAUAAGAGGUAUUUUUUGUUUAUAUAAGUGUAGUUACUGGAGUGAUAUGCACACAUAGUAUUUGCAUAAUGUUUGACAUACAUGGAUUAAAUUAGGAAUAUCAAAGCUUAUCUUGAGUUGAAACUAGUGAAGGAACAAACCUGAGAUGGAAAAAUGAGAAAGAAAUAUCGAAGAUUAGGGAAAAAGCUGAGGUUCUUGGUUCUUGUUCAGUAUUAUUUUUGGUAACAAGAUCUCAUUAAUGAAUUUUCUGAGCCUAGUGAUAGAAUCUGUGAGAACUGUAGCAGUACAUGCAGCAGAAUAAGAUUGAGUAUGGAGCACUUAAUCCACUUCGACAUGGGGACUGCUGAUAAGCCACUGAAAUACUGCUUUUUGCCAUCUUUGAACGAUAAUUCUGACUGGAGAAGUUCUUCGUGGUUGAGAAAGGCAAACGUAUCCACUUUCCAACAGAACAAGCAGACUGGUGAGCUUCUCAGAGAAGGUGAAACAGCAAGUCUUCCUUAAACCAUAUCCAGGCCUCACAAGGACAAAGAAACUAGUGAAAACAGCUAUUGUGUGUUUUCCAAGGAUGAAUUCUGCUUCACCGAUCUGAUAGCUUUCCAUGAGCAGAUUACUAGUUCAGUGGACAAGGGGAGAUCAGCAAGAGCUGUUUACCUUGAUUUUACACUUGGUGUGACUGUCCAUAAUAUCUUUAUUGUCAAAUUUGGAAGGUCUGGAUUGAAAAAGUGGAUGAUGAAGUGGAUGGAGAAGUGACUGAUCCACUGGGAUCAAAUCCUUGUGGUCAAUAAUGUUAAGUCUAACUUGUGACUGAGUAUUGGUGGCAGCGCUCUGGGACUGAUGUUGGAGCAAGUACUCCAAUGUUUUUAUUAAGAACUUGGGAGACAGGAUCUGAGAAAGUCUGCAGACCUCACCAAUCUAAAGAAAGAAGUUAGUACACUGGAGGACAAUGUUGUUUUAGUGAGAAUUCAAGAUGUUGUAGGACUUCCUAAGCUUUAACAAAGGUAAAUUAUUUCGCCUUUUAUAGCUGACAUUUUCUGGAAUACUAGAACUUACUCUGGAAUGUUUGUUUGUUUAUUUAUUUAUUUAUUUUUAACAUAGAACUUUUUUUUUUUUUUUUUGAAACAUAAAAUAGCAUAGACAUUUUACUUUUAAGAAAAACAGUAAUAUGUUCAGCUGUCUCACGCUGCAUCAUCCAUCCAUAGAUCUACCCUGAAAAGUUGUUAUUCUAAGAUGACAGAGAACAAUGAUUCACAUUUUGUCAAUCCUAUUCCAUGUACUGUCAUUCAUCUUAGACAACUACUUGAGCUGCUGAAGCACUAGUGUUUGAUUUGUAAUGCUUUAAAAAUCUUGUAUGUUCUCAUCUUGCUGGUUGAUAUUAGUAGAACAUAACAACAGUUCCAGUUCUAACCGAUACCACUAAAAUAAAACUGAAACAAUUGUAGUGAACAUUAUUUGAAGAUCAUAUUUGGUUUCAUAAAAUCUGUGUCUCUAUUUAUCUUGACAAUUCAGAUUUCUACCAAUAUUCUGUUUCAAGUAAAUGAAAGUCUAAGACAGAAAUGAGCAAAAACAAAAACAAAAGAAGAAGAAACAGUUAUCUGUUCCAGUUCUAUUGCUAUACUCUGUCACAGCUCUCCCAUCCCAAUCCUUUGGAAAAUCUUUUCUUUCAUUAGUUUCUCAGAGAAAACAACACAUCUUGGUUUCUACAUUCCAUAUAUACAAGCUCGGGAUCAUAAGAUUUAUAUAUCUUCCCACUUGGACUAUCUCUCAAGGUUAUGGUUUUGAAGUAACUCCCACAGUCUUAUUCCCAGCCUCUCAUUUCAUGCUUAUAUUUUUUCUCAUAAAACUAAUUUUACUGCUUCUUUGUGUGUUGGGAAUGAAAUCUUCCAUACAAUGUCACUGAAUGAUUAAAGAUCAGUAAAAUAGGGCAUAGAAAUAAGUGUGAAAAAAUAUUUCCUGAUGUAUUUACUAUAUACAGCAGAGCUCACACACACAAGUGUGCAAU
ensembl:lncRNA